rnacentral:rRNA from 1 species
AGAGUUUGAUUCUGGCUCAGGAUGAACGCUGGCGGCGUGCUUAACACAUGCAAGUCGAACGGAGUUUAGCUGUGAAGCGGAAGGGCUUGCCCGGAAGUGGAAUAGUUAAACUUAGUGGCGGACGGGUGAGUAACGCGUGGGUAACCUACCUCAUACAGGGGAAUAACAGUUGGAAACGACUGAUAAAACCGCAUAAAACGGCAGCAGGGCAUCCUGCAACCGUCAAAUAUUUAUAGGUAUGAGAUGGGCCCGCGUCUGAUUAGGCAGUUGGUGAGGUAACGGCCCACCAAACCUACGAUCAGUAGCCGGCCUGAGAGGGUGAACGGCCACAUUGGGACUGAGACACGGCCCAAACUCCUACGGGAGGCAGCAGUGGGGAAUAUUGGACAAUGGGGGAAACCCUGAUCCAGCCGACGCCGCGUGAGUGAGGAAGUAUUUCGGUAUGUAAAGCUCUAUCAGCAGGGAAGAUGAUGACGGUACCUGACUAAGAAGCCCCGGCUAACUACGUGCCAGCAGCCGC